ACGACAAUCGGCAAUGAGUAGGGGGAGAUCAAUAUAUUCAGAGCAAUCUUGAAUCUACGACAAGAAGUUUGUGACAGUUCGAAAGUAACACUACAAAUAAUUAAUUUCUAUUCAACAAAUUAAUCAAGAUGCCUUCUCCCUGCGGUGAUUCCAAAUGCAAAGACAAAUGCGACGGUUGCAAAUGUGGGGACAACUGCAAAUGUUGUGAUUCCGGAAAAGGAGAAAAGUGCAACUGCAAAAGUGGAGGACAAUGCACAUGCAAACAAGGAUCUUGCGAAUGUUAAUAAUUUACGAUAGAAAAUAUUUCACUUUCAUUAAACAAAUAUUUUUUGAAACUCAA